rnacentral:rRNA from 1 species
GACGAACGCUGGCGGCGUGCUUAACACAUGCAAGUCGAACGGAAAGGCCCUGCUUUUGCGGCUUUCUCGUUUGGCGCACGGGUGUGUAACACGUGUGUAACCUGCCCUUGUCUUUGUGAUAUCUUCACGAAACUGGGGCUAAUACCGGAUAUGAUCUCCUGCUGCAUGUUGUUGGUUGGAAAGUUUCGGCGGUUGGGGAUGGACUCGCGGCUUAUCAGCUUGUUGGUGUGGUAGUGGCUUACCAAGGCUUUGACGGGUAGCCGGCCUGAGAGGGUGAACGGCGACAUUGGGACUGAGAUACGGACCAGAAGCGUACGGGAGGCAGCAGGGGGGAAUAUUGCAGAAUGGGCGGAAGCCUGAUGCAGAAACGCCGGGUGCGGGAUGACGGCCUUCGGGUUGUAAACCGAUUUCGAAUGUGACGAAGCGUGAGUGACGGUAAUGGGUAAAGAAGCAACGGCUAACUACGUG